rnacentral:rRNA from 1 species
GACGAACGCUGGCGGCGUGCUUAACACAUGCAAGUCGAACGGAAAGGCCCUGCUUUUGUGGGGUGCUCGAGUGGCGAACGGGUGAGUAACACGUGAGUAACCUGCCCUUGACUUUGGGAUAACUUCAGGAAACUGGGGCUAAUACCGGAUAGGAGCUCCUGCUGCAUGGUGGGGGGUGGAAAGUUUCGGCGGUUGGGGAUGGACUCGCGGCUUAUCAGCUUGUUGGUGGGGUAGUGGCUUACCAAGGCUUUGACGGGUAGCCGGCCUGGGAGGGUGACCGGCCACAUUGGGACUGAGAUACGGCCCAGACGCCUACGGGAGGCAGCAGGGGGGAAUAUUGCACAAUGGGCGGAAGCCUGAUGCAGCAACGCCGCGUGCGGGAUGACGGCCUUCGGGUUGUAAACCGCUUUCGCCUGUGACGAAGCGUGAGUGACGGUAAUGGGUAAAGAAGCACCGGCUAACUACGUG